UACGUAGGGCGCAAGCGUUGUCCGGAAUUAUUGGGCGUAAAGAGCUCGUAGGCGGUCUGUCGCGUCUGCCGUGAAAACCCGAGGCUUAACCUCGUGGCUUGCGGUGGAUACGGGCAGACUAGAGGUAGGUAGGGGAGAAUGGAAUUCCCGGUGUAGCGGUGAAAUGCGCAGAUAUCGGGAGGAACACCGGUGGCGAAGGCGGUUCUCUGGGCCUUACCUGACGCUGAGGAGCGAAGGCGUGGGGAGCGAACAGG
rnacentral:rRNA from 1 species